rnacentral:tRNA from 1 species
UUUUAUUAGCUCAAUGGUAGAGCUAGAUACUUCUAAUAUUUAGAUCUAAGUUCGAAUCUUAGAUAA